rnacentral:misc_RNA from 1 species
AAGUUAACUUCAGUUUCUAGCAGAAUUAUUCAUAAAACCAUUGAUUGCUCAUCAGGUACAUUUCUCUCUCACGUGAAUGGUAUAAUAAUGAUUAUGUUACGUUUGUUUUAAAAAUUUAUACUUAGAUUUAUCCGCCAUGUUAAAUGAAUGGCCAAUUACUAAAAAUAAGUUAAUCAUGCAAUACGUCUGAAUAUACUAUUAAAUAUAUCAUGUUUUUUUAGAAUGACUUUAACAUUUAUUGAGAAUUAGAGAUCUACCGUGUAUAUUUUUAUUUGAUUUGUCCAGAGUAAAUGAAAACUCGUUUUUGAAAAUAAAAACAUGUAUGUAAUUUAAUUUGACAUUUAUUUUAAAAAUAAGCAGUGUUAUUUCUCUUUGGUGUGUUUUUGUAGUUAAAUUACGCGUAACCAAUGUACAAAGACUAAACAGUUCGAGCAAAAGUCCGGUCCUUGCAUGGAAAGUUCUGGGAACUGUAAGCGAAAACUGUGAUUGCAUGAAACAGUGUGAGGUAACAACCAAUCAGAGCUCUCCUGUAAUAAUCACGCGGAGUUGUAACAACAAUUCUUUAUACACGGUGGAACUAAAUCACCUACUACAAGUGACCGACUAUACCAUCGCUGUAAAGUGUACGGUGAUUGGGUCAGAAGUUUGGAGCGAUGAUCAGCUUGUAACACUUACCACGCCUUUUGAAGUUCCUCUUGGUGGUCUGCUUGCUGGUCCAGAUCUAGAAGGUUACGUAAUGUACACGUGUCAAGAGCGAUUCUACUGUUUGAUUUUGUACUGGAAGGAUCUCGGCAACGUCAUCAAGAUGUAUAAGAUACAUGUAUCAGACAGGAAAACAUCUUUCGAGCUUGAAGUUCCUUAUUCGCCAAUCGCUACAAUCCGUUUAAAUAAGACUAGAAACUGUCAGCAAUUCCACAUAAAUGUCUAUGGAGUGACCACCAAUGGAAUGACAACGCAGACAACGUCCUUUCGAGCCAUGGACCAUGCUUGUGGGUGCUUCAAUCGCAUAGUUUGUUCAGUGGUUAAAGGGAAUGGAAGCCACGUGAACCUGAAAUUAACAGAACAGGGCUAUCCCGUGUCAGAGAGCACAGGUGGAAGUAACAGUUGUGAGGUUACACUUUUCUGGUGUGUUGGAUAUAAACGGGACUCGCAUGUGGAGUGUGAGAAUUUCAUUCAGUGGUCCAACGAAGUUCUCAACAAAUCAACUGCUAUAGUACCUAUCAACAGUGGAAGCCACAAUGGCAGCUUGCAUGUAGGAUUAGGGUUCAGGUCCAAUGGCCAAACCACUGGCAUAGACUGGAACACGUGUUUAGAUCUCAAUGCAGACGAUCAAUCCAGAAGACCAUGAGCACACAGAAGGUACAGAAGUUUCGAGUGUGUCCCAACAGGAGAUUGAUUCCUAUGUUUGCAGUGUUGUUGUAUAUCAACCUAGUAUCUCCUCCACAGAUCAAAACAGGGACGGUUACGACGGUAACGUUACUAUUGAAAAUUCAAAAUCUCCACUUAGCCUUAUCUCCAACAUUAAUACGAUGGUCAUCGAUGACAAACAACAUACAAAUGGGGUUGAAUAUAGCUCAAAUUCAGGAACGGAUCCGGGUUACUUGUCACCGAAUGAACUGACACCAACAAGCGCUGUUCCCAGAUUGUUCUUAAACCAAAAUAUAUCAGAUGAAACAGCGUCAGAUAAUUCGUCUUGUUGCCACGAUGGGCUUAGUCUAAGGGCAAGAUUGAGUACAAAAAGCAUCUCAAGUUAUUGCACGGCAAACGAUCUGAACCAGUUUUCAGAGUAUGCAACUGAAUCGGAGAGAACACAUUCAAGCAAAAGAUUUUGUGAGGUCGACAAUAAUUUAGACUACAUUUCAACAGAAGGAAUAGAUUCAAUCGAUGGAAAAAUUCGUAUUUCGACAGAAGAAAAUAAUCAAAAUAUUAACGAGGUACAUGUUGAGGCACACAACAACCAGGACUACAUUGCAAUGGAGAGAACAAUCUCAAAUGAUGACAAUAUAGGCAAUGGUGUGGUCUGUAAUAUGGACUACAUUUCGACUUGAUGGAAUAUCAUUAUGUGUAAUUCGUUUCACCUUUCAAAGAACGCGGCGACUGAUAGCUUAUACACGGAAUUUUUCGCCGAAUUCAAAACAGCUAAAAAGAAUGUUACAAGGUGGUGUCAAUGAUUAAAAAACAAUUUUUGCAGGAUAUUUUGAAGUGGGUUCGUUUGUUGAAAAAACCAAAAGUAUAGUAUUCGGGAAUACUAUUUGUAUGAAAUCUACUGUCUCUUAUGAAACAAAAACUCAACGUUUCAUGUUGAAAGGACGGCAUAGUUCCUGCACGGGGUUUUCCAACCGAGACGAGACACGGUUUUAUUCGAGACUUAUUUACUAAUAAUCUUCAUUGUCAUGAUGUGAAAAAAACUAUAUGUUCAUUUAAGCAUGAGUUAUUUACACUGGAGAAUUAAUGUAUUGAAGAAUAUGAUAAGAAAUAGAAUUUAAACUACUAUGUAUCUAU